GGAGGGUGCGAGCGUUGUUCGGAAUCACUGGGCGUAAAGCGCGUGUAGGCGGCCUCUUAAGUUCGGUGUGAAAGCCCGGGGCUUACCCCCGGAAGUGCACCGGAUACUGGGAGGCUCGAGUACCGGAGAGGAGGGUGGAAUUCCUGGUGUAGCGGUGAAAUGCGUAGAUAUCAGGAGGAAUACCGGCGGCGAAGGCGGCCCUCUGGACGGAUACUGACGCUGAGACGCGAAAGCGUGGGGAGCAAACAGGAUUAGAUACCCUGGUAGUCCACGCUGUAAACGAUGGGCACUAGAUGCUGCGGGUAUUGACCCCUGCGGUGUCGUAGUUAACGCGUUAAGUGCCCCGCCUGGGGAGUACGGUCGCAAGAUUA
rnacentral:rRNA from 1 species